rnacentral:rRNA from 1 species
AUGGAGGCCCUUAUCGGUAUGUCUCCUCCAGAGCCUCCGGUACCAAAAGGAGACAAGAAUAGGGAAAGAGUUGCAGCCGGUGCUCCUUUCACCUAGAUUGCAUUCCACUUUGGGAAUUGCCCUGAGGAUGCUAGUAAUGAACAGGUCCAAAUAUAUGCUCGUGUCUACAUGUGGCACGUUAUCUUCAGGACUCUGUUUGCUGACAGCACAAGCAAGAAUGCUCCAUGGAUGUGGCUGAAGGUGUUGACCGUCUUCGAUAACAAAUGA